ACACUCCUGCGGGAGGCAGCAGUGGGGAAUUUUGGACAAUGGGCGAAAGCCUGAUCCAGCCAUGCCGCGUGCAGGAUGAAGGCCUUCGGGUUGUAAACUGCUUUUGUACGGAACGAAACGGCCUUUUCUAAUAAAGAGGGCUAAUGACGGUACCGUAAGAAUAAGCACCGGCUAACUACGUGCCAGCAGCCGCGGUAAUACGCAGGGUGCAAGCGUUAAUCGGAAUUACUGGGCGUAAAGCGUGCGCAGGCGGUUAUGUAAGACAGUUGUGAAAUCCCCGGGCUCAACCUGGGAACUGCAUCUGUGACUGCAUAGCUAGAGUACGGUAGAGGGGGAUGGAAUUCCGCGUGUAGCAGUGAAAUGCGUAGAUAUGCGGAGGAACACCGAUGGCGAAGGCAAUCCCCUGGACCUGUACUGGCGCUCAUGCACGAAAGCGUGGGGAGCAAACAGGAUUAGAUACCCUUGUAGUCCCAUG
rnacentral:rRNA from 1 species